GGCUAGUCCGAGUGCACUGGUGUUUACAGCUAAUUGACCACAACCAGUUAUAGAUUUAUGUUUCUUCUCCACUCCCACUGCUUCACCUGACUAGCCUUAA
rnacentral:Y_RNA from 1 species